UACGAAGGGGGCUAGCGUUGCUCGGAAUCACUGGGCGUAAAGGGUGCGUAGGCGGGUCUUUAAGUCAGGGGUGAAAUCCCGGAGCUCAACUCCGGAACUGCCCUUGAAACUGCUUGGCUAGAAUCUUGGAGAGGUCAGUGGAAUUCCGAGUGUAGAGGUGAAAUUCGUAGAUAUUCGGAAGAACACCAGUGGCGAAGGCGACUGACUGGACAAGUAUUGACGCUGAGGUACGAAAGCGUGGGGAGCAAACAGG
rnacentral:rRNA from 1 species